AUGUUCAGAGCAGAGGCCAGCAUGAGUUCCCAGAACCAGAGCUUCUAUGACGGAUUCUCACCAGAAAAUGAAAUUCUCAGCGUACAGGCAAUGGAACAAAAUGAAAUUAGGCCAGUGCACGUGGCCCAGGAAGCACCAGGGGGCCUCAGCGAGCUCCUGAGUGUCACACUCAGUGCGGGUGUUUCCGCCUCAGCCCGUCUCAGAGGAGUCGCUAAAGGAAACGCAGAGAGGGCGGGACGCAAGCCCAGAACCCUGCGGCUCCCGCCACGGGGUCGCGCCCUCCCUCCGGUAUCCGUAUCCGGACCCUGCGGCUCCCAGAGGCGCUCCCGGAACAAACGAGGGCGCGCAGAGCUCUCUUCCCCGCAGUCCGGGGCCACCGUCCCAGGGCCCGUGAUUGACGGAACAGCCCCUGGAAUUGAGCCUUGACUGUGGCCGGGUCUUUCCAGUUACAGGCGAUGCUCCAGAAACGCGUGUUUUCCCAUCUGGGAGUCAGUCUGUCGCAGACCCAUUCCUGGAUCGCCGAUGUCGCCCACUCUCCCCAGAGGCCUCCUCCCUCCGACCCGACCGGUGGGAGGCCGCGUCCCCCACACUUGCCAGGAGCCCCGCCUGCAGCCCAGGCGUCUUCCCUGCAGCCACGGGCUCUUGUGGCAACGGCCGCCUCCCCCCGGCCUGUUUUCUGCCUUCUGCCGUCCUGUUGGUGACUGGGGAGGCCCGUGGUCAGUGAGGCCCCAGAGAUCACCUGGGGGAGUCCUGUAGGGAGAGCCUGACUCAGACCAGCGUUGAGCCGUCGCACCCCCGCUUGGGACCAGGACGGGCUGCACCUUCCCCACCUGUGGCCCUGGGACCUGCCCCACCCGACCCCGGGGAGAUCCAACCCAGACUGCCUCCCGCCAGCGGACUCAUUCACACUCGGCAAACAGGCUGGGGCCAGGCGCCGCCCUGCCCUAGGUGCCCAGCAAACACGUGGGCCAGCCAGACCCCUGGACCCUCACAGGGAGGAGAUGGAGAUGGGUUCACCCCCUACAAAGGUGGGAGGGGGAGGGGAUGGCCGCCGUGCCCAGGUGCCAGGGCGGAGCCGAGGGCCGCGUGCACCACUUGGGCCCUUGGAGGGGCCGGCAUGUGCCUCUCUGUCCUUGUGCCACCUCCACCGGGGUACAGGGCCACCACCAUGGAAACCGCAUGUGUAACCCCUGGAAACAGGGUCCUCCUGGAUGAAUCAUGUUCUAAGUUGGGAGGAAAAUUCACUGGAUAGUGGAGGCAGUAGGAAGAAAUAAAAAAUGUCUUUGUUCCACAGAUGCUUGGAGGGCUUGGGUCCUCGGUGUUUAUAGUGGGGGCCGCCUUCCAACACCACACCCUAGGAGGGAGUCACGGGAGGGCGUUCCGGAAACUCCGCAGUCACUGGGGAGGGGUCGCAGAGAGCCCCGCACCACCCGCCCUUGGGGCACAGUCAGCCCCCACCACCGGCCCUCGGGGCGCAGACAGCCCUGCCACCCGCCCUCAGAGCACAAACACAGGGCCUGUCCCCUGCCCGUGGGCGCAGCUGUCCUGCUCCCUCCCAGAAGGCACUUGGACUUUUGUGGAAAAAGAGCUUCUGGGAUGGAAAAUCCCUGGAUGAGUUUCCUCCCAGCCUUUCCUGGGAGUGGAGGACAGACCUCCACCCCCAGGGGGGAGGUCCAGCCAGCGCUGGGAGAGUGCAGGGCGGGGCCCCGAGGCUCCGCACUGCAGCCUGGCCCUGCGGGGCUGGGAGCACUAUCCCCUCCCCGUCCACCCUCACUGUGUGGGCCUUGGUGGCCUCCUUGUCUAGAAAAUUUCCCAGGUGGGGCCUGGGUUUUUGGAGCCCAUGGAGAGCAGGUCCUCCACAUCCCGGGUGCCCUGGGUAGGGCAGGGAGGAGACCAAGGCGUCGCGCAGAGCUUGGCCAGCCGUGGUCAAAGGAGAGGUGGUGACUGAGAGACGUGGGAGGAAAAAGAUUUUUAAAGGGGGAGGUGGGACCUACCCUGGGGCUGGGGUUGGGGGCUCCGCCUGGGCGUGGGCGGGGGAGGGGGUGCAGUUAGUCCAAAAGGGGAGGGGGAGGAGAGGGGUGGGGAGGAGGGGGCUGGCAGAAGCGGGGCCUGGGCCAGCAACCUUGGGGCUCCCACCAGCAGCCCUGAGUCUCCUCUUAACUUUCCCUGUGGACAAAGGCAGUUUCCUGGGAUGGUCUUUCCUUCUUGUUCCACCCACUUUUAUGGGUUUAAGAAAACCACUGACACAGGACAGUGGUGGUGGGUGAUUCCCCUUUUCCUGCACUUACUUCUUUUCCCGCGCUUACGUUUGGAGGCACCAGGGCUCCCCAAGGCGGACUGAGGGGCUCCUCUCCCUGAACGCAGGACCCCGAUGGGGGUGGGGUGGGGGUGGAGGGCAGGCAGAUUCCAGAAACAGCCCCGCCCUCCCCUGCCUCCCGGGACAGCUUCCUCUGCCCAGCCCACCUCAUGCUCCCUCCCAUCCUCUCCCACCCAGGUCUGUGGAGAUGGGCAGGUCAGGGCUCCACAGCU
rnacentral:lncRNA from 1 species